CUGAUCCCUGCCCCCAGAGGCACUGGCAUUGUCUCAGCCCCUGUGCCCAAGAAGCUGCUGAUGAUGGCUGGUACUGAUGACUGCUACACUUCUGCUGAGGGCUGCACUGCUACUUUGGGCAACUUUGCUAAGGCCACCUUUGAUGCCAUCUCCAGGACCCACAGCUAUCUGACCCCUGACCUGUGGAAAGAGACAGUGUUCACCAAGUCUCCUAUUAGGAAUUCAUCCACCAUCUUGUGAAAACCCACACCAGAGUCUCUGUCCAGAGGACUCAAACUCCAGCAGUAGCUACAACAUAAAGGGGUUUUACACAAGCAAAAUAAAAUGAAUUAAAUCUGCUGAAAACAG